AUUGAACGCUGGCGGCAGGCCUAACACAUGCAAGUCGAACGAGUUGCGGACGGGUGAGUAAUGUCUGGGACACUGCCUGAUGGAGGGGGAUAACUACUGGAAACGGUAGCUAAUACCGCAUACCAUCUGAUUUGCCCAGAUGGGAUUAGCUAGUAGGUGGGGUAAAGGCUCACCUAGGCGACGAUCCCUAGCUGGUCUGAGAGGAUGACCGGCCACACUGGAAGUGAGACACGGGCCAGACUCCUACGGGAGGCAGCAGUGGGGAAUAUUGCACAAUGGGCGAAAGCCUGAGGGAGCAAUGCGGCGUGUAUGAAGAAGGCCUUCGGGUUGUAAAGUACUUUAAGCGGGGAGGCGUUACCCGCAGAGGAAGCAACGGCUAACUCCGUGCCAGCCGCCGCGGUAAUAC
rnacentral:rRNA from 1 species